rnacentral:tRNA from 1 species
GGGCGCGUCGCCUAGCACGGAUCGGGCACUGGCCUUCGGAGCCAGUUUACGUCGGUUCAAAUCCGACCGCGCCCG